GAUGAACGCUGGCGGCGUGCCUAAUACAUGCAAGUCGAGCGAACAGACGAGAAGCUUGCUUCUCUGACGUUAGCGGCGGACGGGUGAGUAACACGUGGAUAACCUACCUAUAAGACUGGGAUAACUUCGGGAAACCGGAGCUAAUACCGGAUAAUAUUUUGAACCGCAUGGUUCAAUAGUGAAAGACGGUCUUGCUGUCACUUAUAGAUGGAUCCGCGCCGCAUUAGCUAGUUGGUAAGGUAACGGCUUACCAAGGCAACGAUGCAUAGCCGACCUGAGAGGGUGAUCGGCCACACUGGAACUGAGACACGGUCCAGACUCCUACGGGAGGCAGCAGUAGGGAAUCUUCCGCAAUGGGCGAAAGCCUGACGGAGCAACGCCGCGUGAGUGAUGAAGGUCUUCGGAUCGUAAAACUCUGUUAUUAGGGAAGAACAAAUGUGUAAGUAACUGUGCACAUCUUGACGGUACCUAAUCAGAAAGCCACGGCUAACUACGUG
rnacentral:rRNA from 1 species